rnacentral:lncRNA from 1 species
UAUGGUUAUACGGGCCUACUACCCCCCGUACUAGGCAACCAAGGUACCAACCCCUCGAUACGGUUAUACGGGCCUACUACCCCCCGUACUAGGCAACCAAGGUACCAACCCCUCGAUACGGUUAUACGGGCCUACUACCCCCCGUACUAGGCAACCAAGGUACCAACCCCUCGAUACGGUUAUACGGGCCUACUACCCCCCGUACUAGGCAACCAAGGUACCAACCCCUCGAUACGGUUAUACGGGCCUACUACCCCCCGUACUAGGCAACCAAGGUACCAACCCCUCGAUACGGUUACCCGGGCCUACAACCCCCCGAGCUAGGCUUGGUCGACUCACACACUAUAUAGAGAAAAUCAUAUACAUGUAUCCAUUUCAUCAUUAUUUCAAUACUUAUAUAAUCAUCCGACUCAUAGGACGUACAUUGGACCUUCCAUUUCAUAAGAAUUCUAUAAAUGGCAUUUUAUCAAACAUAUGGUGGGCUACUUGUUCAUGUAAA